GCUACUUCAGAUGACCCAGGCCAGAUUCUUGUCUUCAGCAAAACAUUAUGGCACCAGUUAAAUCAACAGAAUGACGUCAAUUUACUCUGAGAAUCCAGAAUUAAGCAAAAGUUAAAAGGAUGAAGCUGAACAAAACCCUUUGACCUAACUGUUGCUGGAUGAAGUUCACAGCUGGCUUUGUAAAUGGUGCUGAGAAACCUGAAGUGUCAUUGCUAAAGGCUGGUAAGUGAUGUAUUUAAUUAACAUCUAAAGCAUUGACAAAUUUAGUGAAAGCACAGUAAAAUGCAGUUCAUUUAAGUUGAAAUAAUGUUUUGGGGUUUUUGACUUUGAUUAGCUAAAGAAGAGAAUAUUGUAAAUAGUUUGGGUUGGAGUUUUAUUUCUGAAGUCAGAUAUUGUUUUCAAUAUGGUUAUUUCAGUGCAUGAGACAGGUGUUGUGUAGGCACAGAAGGCUACACUAGAUGUUCUGAUGUCUGCAUAAUUAUAUUCCAACAAUACAUUAUAAUUCUUUUAAAAUUAUUUGCAUAAACCUUGAAGCAUCUGCAGAACUUGCCCUAUCCUUCAGGUUCGUAAGAGCCAUCCUCCUUAAAAAAUAAAUCUUCUGCUUGUUUUUCUUCA
rnacentral:lncRNA from 1 species